GCAUUGGUGGUUCAGUGGUAGAAUACUAGCUUGCCAUGUUGGAGACCUAGGUUCGAUUCCCAGCCAAUGCA
rnacentral:tRNA from 1 species